GACGUCGACUAUCGACGUCAUAAACACCAAAGUUGAUCGUGUUUAUGACGUCGAAUAUCGACGUCAUAAACACCAAAAUUGAUCGUGUUUAUGACUUCGAAUAUUGACGUC